UACGUAGGGGGCAAGCGUUGUCCGGAAUCAUUGGGCGUAAAGCGCGUGUAGGCGGUUACGUAAGUCUGCUGUGAAAGUCGGAGGCUCAACCUUCGAAAGCCGGUGGAUACUGCGUGACUAGAGUACGGAAGAGGAGAGUGGAAUUCCUGGUGUAGCGGUGAAAUGCGCAGAUAUCAGGAGGAGCACCAACGGCGAAGGCAGCUCUCUGGGACGUUACUGACGCUGAGACGCGAAAGCGUGGGGAGCAAACAGG
rnacentral:rRNA from 1 species